AAUUAUUUUUUUAUUACCAAAUUUUUUCAAUUUUUGAUUAGUAUUUUUCAAUUAAUUUAUAAGGACGAAAUGAAGGGAGGAGAUAUUAGGUUAUGUGGAAAAGGUGAUGGGUCUAAGAUGAAAAACGGUACCACUCAUACUAUAGGAGCUGAUGCGGGUACAAGCAUAGGGACGAGUAGUACUAGAGAAAACAUAUUACUAGAAGAGAUAGAAUUUAAGUUACUUAAUAAAAAAAUCGAAACAAAACCCUUUUGUAGUAUUUUUUCAAUAAAAAAUGAUGACAGGUUUUCUAGUAUGCAGAAUAAAAAUAUAAGCGCUAUGUUCCUUGUUACAUUUAAUCUAUACGAUUUUUUUAAAAAAAAAAUUAACACGUAUUACAGCAAAAUAAGAAAAUACAGUGUGGAUUACGAUGAUUACAUACAUGAAGGUGUGCAUAACUAUAGCAGUAUAAAUAGUGGCAGUUUAAAGAAUGGCAGUUAUUUAUACGAUGGAAAUGAUAUGACUGGGGGGGAACAUAUGUACGGAGAACAUAUGAGUGGUGGAAAUAUGAAAGGUGAAGGUAGGAUCAAAUUGGAUGAUAAAAAUGUGCCCUACCAUUCUGAUGUGUAUAAUUACAACAUGGAGAUAAAUACAAACGUUAGUAAAAAUUACAGAGAUAGUAGCAUGAACAGGACAUUACAUCAAAUCGAAGCAGAACACAAGUCAGUAGAGAAUAUGAAUGUAACAGAAGAAACAGGUGUGAUAAAAGAAAGAAACAUACCAGGUGUUAAUAUGAUGUACGAUAUGAAGCAGGACAUGAAUCAAAAUAAGUACAUGCGGAAUAUUCAUGAAGAAGAAAAUAAACCUAAUGAUAUUCUCGAGAUAAAUAAUAAUAGUACUGAUAUUUAUAAUAAAAAAACGUCUAAUCAUAGAAACAGUUUUUUAAAAAUAGAAGACUCAGGAUAUGGAAGUAAUCUUAAGCAAGAAGGUAAUUUAUUAAAUAAUACUACAGAUGUUAAUACGAAUGGUAUAAGUCAGUUUGGGAAUACUGAAGUGAAUGAUAGUCGUAUUAAAAUAAAUAAUACAGAUGAUAAGAACAUUUAUUUACAUAAUAAUACAAAAUUUAAAGAGAUGGUUCAACCCGAUAGGUAUUAUAAGAAUGUUUAUGAUGAC
rnacentral:lncRNA from 1 species